UACGGAGGGUGCAAGCGUUAUCCGGAUUCACUGGGUUUAAAGGGUGCGUAGGCGGGUUGGUAAGUCAGUGGUGAAAUCUUCAAGCUUAACUUGGAAACUGCCGUUGAUACUAUCAAUCUUGAAUAUUGUGGAGGUAAGCGGAAUAUGUCAUGUAGCGGUGAAAUGCUUAGAUAUGACAUAGAACACCGAUAGCGAAGGCAGCUUGCUACACAGUAAUUGACGCUGAGGCACGAAAGCGUGGGGAGCAAACAGG
rnacentral:rRNA from 1 species